UACAGAGGUCCCAAGCGUUGUUCGGAUUCACUGGGCGUAAAGGGUGCGUAGGUGGUGAGGUAAGUCGGAUGUGAAAGCUCGGAGCUCAACUCCGAAAUGGCAUUGGAAACUACCUUGCUCGAGGGUUGGAGGGGGGACUGGAAUGCUUGGUGUAGCAGUGAAAUGCGUAGAUAUCAAGCGGAACACCAGUGGCGAAGGCGAGUCCCUGGACACUCCUGACACUGAGGCACGAAAGCUAGGGGGAGCAAACAGG
rnacentral:rRNA from 1 species